rnacentral:SRP_RNA from 1 species
GCCAGGUGCGGUGGCUCACGCCUGUAAUCCCAGCACUUUGGGAGGCUGAGGUGGGCGGAUCACCUGAGGUCAGGAGUUCGAGACCAGCCUGACCAACAUGGUGAAACCCCAUCUCUA